rnacentral:rRNA from 1 species
GGUAGUCCACGCCGUAAACGAUGAGUGCUAGGUGUUAGGUCCUUUCCGGGACUUAGUGCCGCAGCUAACGCAUUAAGCACUCCGCCUGGGGAGUACGACCGCAAGGUUGAAACUCAAAGGAAUUGACGGGGGCCCGCACAAGCGGUGGAGCAUGUGGUUUAAUUNGAAGCAACGCGAAGAACCUUACCAGGUCUUGACAUCCCGAUGCCCGCUCUAGAGAUAGAGCUUUACUUCGGUACAUCGGUGACAGGUGGUGCAUGGUUGUCGUCAGCUCGUGUCGUGAGAUGUUGGGUUAAGUCCCGCAACGAGCGCAACCCUUAUUGUUAGUUGCCAUCAUUCAGUUGGGCACUCUAGCGAGACUGCCGGUAAUAAACCGGAGGAAGGUGGGGANGACGUCAAAUCAUCAUGCCCCUUAUGACCUGGGCUACACACGUGCUACAAUGGCUGGUACAACGAGUCGCAAGCCGGNGACGGCAAGCUAAUCUCUGAAAGCCAGUCUCAGUUCGGAUUGUAGGCUGCAACUCGCCUACANGAAGUCGGAAUCGCUAGUAAUCGCGGAUCNGCACGCCGCGGUGAAUACGUUCCCGGGCCUUGUACAC